AGUGAAGCGAAGUUUUUUC
rnacentral:miRNA from 1 species